UACAGAGGGUGCGAGCGUUAAUCGGAAUUACUGGGCGUAAAGCGUGCGUAGACGGUUUCGUAAGUCGGGUGUGAAAUCCCCGGGCUCAACCUGGGAAUUGCGAUGGAGACUGCAAGGCUAGAAUCUGGCAGAGGGGGGUAGAAUUCCACGUGUAGCUGUGAAAUGCGUAGAGAUGUGGAGGAACACCGAUGGCGAAGGCAGCCCCCUGGGUCAAGAUUGACGCUCAUGCACGAAAGCGUGGGGAGCAAACAGG
rnacentral:rRNA from 1 species